GUGUUCGCUUCAGCAGCACAGAUACUAAAAUUGGAACAAUACAGAGAAGAUCAGCAUGGCCCCUGUGCAAGGAUGAUGCACAAAUUCGUGGAGCAUUACAAAUGAUC
rnacentral:snRNA from 3 species